rnacentral:rRNA from 1 species
CCUACGGGAGGCAGCAGUGAGGAAUUUUCCGCAAUGGGCGAAAGCCUGACGGAGCAAUACCGCGUGAGGGAUGAAGGAUUUUGGUCUGUAAACCUCUUUUCUCAAGAAGGAAGUUCUGACGGUACUUGAGGAAUAAGCAUCGGCUAACUCCGUGCCAGCAGCCGCGGUAAUACGGGGGAUGCAAGCGUUAUCCGGAAUGAUUGGGCGUAAAGCGCCUGUAGGUUGUUUAUUAAGUCCGUUGUUAAAGCCUAGGGCUUAACCCUAGAAAAGCAAUGGAAACUAGUAGACUAGAGUAUGGCAGGGGUAGAGGGAAUUUCUAGUGUAGCGGUGAAAUGCGUAGAUAUUAGAAAGAACACCGGUGGCGAAAGCGCUCUACUGGACCAUUACUGACACUCAGAGGCGAAAGCUAGGGUAGCAAAAGGGAUUAGAUACCCCUGUAGUCCUAGCCGUAAACGAUGGAUACUAGAUGUUGUGCAUUAUGUACAGUAUCGUAGCUAACGCGUUAAGUAUCCCGCCUGGGGUAGGUACGCGUCGCGAGGUAGGUAAACGUUAAAGGUAAAGUUAGUACGGACGUGAGACGUGCCGACGGACGACGACGAGGGAGGAGG